UUCAAGAGAGCAUUACGGACAUAAAGACACGGCCUUCGGAACCAGAUUGGCCUACGCUAACUUCCAGGCUACUUCAGCUACUGGCUGUGCAGUCUUGGGAGUUCGCUCGACCCCAGUCCCAUUUUCUCUUCCUACGGAACAUCAAUGCGUGUAAACAUGACUUCAUAGCGGCUGCACUCUUCAUAUGUCCUGUCCUUUUUCAGCCACAAGGCACAGCAAAAGGCAGUAGACAAAAAUGUUACACUGCUAAGAGAAUUCAUUUAAGCAUUUAUUUGAGGAUCUCCCUGUUCAAAUCACUGAGGCCUUAUUCACAUUUUUGCAGCUGGUAGAGACUGUGGUCUGUCACUGCCAUUUCCGCCCCCCUGCACCAAAAUGU